GGGUUUGUAGCUCAAUGGUAGAGCAAUGAGCUUUUAACUCAAAGGCUGCGGGUUCAAGUCCUGUCAAACCC
rnacentral:tRNA from 1 species